rnacentral:lncRNA from 1 species
UCUUUGACAAAGUGAAGUGAUGGUGGUUGAUUAAAGUUGUUGGUCCCACUGGCAUCUUGGGGGAUGUAGGUUUUUGUUUUUGUUUUUUGUUUUUUGUUUUUUUUUUUGAGACCUAUGAUAAUUUGUGGGUUGCUUUGGCUGUACACUGGCAGUUUGUACAAGUUGAAGUCCAGUCUCUGACUGGGAUGAUGUCUAGCACUUUGGGGCAUUUGACUUGUGGUUGGCAAGCCUUUGUGAGAGAGCACUGGGACUUUGUGGCCUUGACUCAUGCUGGCCAACAAGGAACAGAAAGCUUAACUUCUUUUUUUUUUUUUUUUCCUGUCCCUGUUCUGUACGGUAUAGUUCUCUCAUGCUUUGGUAUUUUUCAGAGUGUUUCAGGCCUGUGCUUUGUCAUUGUGUUGAAUACAUUUCCCAAAUAAAAUGUGGGGGGAAAAAGUCUUAAAUACUUUUAUUUCUGAUAAUGAGACUCGCCCAUUCCAGAUUAAGUGGUCUGCUACUAAGCUACCUUUGUCCCUUUUCAAAAUUAGCCUUUGCAGGCCGGAGAGAUGGCUCAGCAGUGAAAAGUGCUUGUUUCUCCCUCUUACAGAGGGCUGGAAUUUGUUUUCAGUACUCAGAACCACGCAAUACCCGACCUCCAGGUCUAGCCUCCCCGUGGAUGCUCAUACACAUGUGCACGCAUGCACACACAUGCACAUUUAUACACACACAAAGUAAAAUGUUAUUUUGAGGUCUGGGGAUGUAUCUCAGUGGUAGAGUACUUGCCUAGUGUGUAGGAGGUCCUUAAUUCAAUACUAUGCUCCAACCAGUAAAAAGUAACAACAAUAAAAAUGUUUUGAGGAAGAGUCCUCAAAUCUUAGGAUUCUUCUGCCUUGACCCACAAUAAUUACAAGGUGCACUUUUACCAUGCCCAGAAAAUGCCUUUAGGAUUUAAAAAAAAAAAAAUCAAAUAUGCUCAUUAAGGCAGGGUCUCAUGUAGCACAGAGUAAAUAGGUAGCAGAGGGUGACCUCUGCUGAACAGCCUGCGUUGUAUCCUCAGUGCGGUGGUUACAGAAGCAUGCCUGGCUGUGUCGUUUCUUUAGUCACAUCCUCUUGAUGCUUAUCUUGAUAGACACGGACCCUGUGUUGUUGAGUUAACGUGAAGUAGAUGGAUCUUGAACCCUAUAAAAAUAGCCAGUCUCUAUCUAGCUUCCAAGUACUGUUGGGUUGUAGAAUCCAAAUUCAAACCUUUGAGUAAAUAAUUGUAGAUAUUUCUGUGAUCUCGUGGAUGACACCUGGGACUGUGCUUGAUCCAGCUAACUCCCCAAACCAUAUUCUCCC